AUGGACUUAUGGCGCAUUAGCUGGUUGGCGGGGUAACGGCCCACCAAGGCGACGAUGCGUAGCCGACCUGAGAGGGUGACCGGCCACACUGGGACUGAGACACGGCCCAGACUCCUACGGGAGGCAGCAGUAGGGAAUUUUCGGCAAUGGGGGAAACCCUGACCGAGCAACGCCGCGUGAAGGAAGAAGGUUUUCGGAUUGUAAACUUCUGUUAUAAAGGAAGAACGGCGGCUACAGGAAAUGGUAGCCGAGUGACGGUACUUUAUUAGAAAGCCACGGCUAACUACGUGCCAGCAGCCGCGGUAAUACGUAGGUGGCAAGCGUUAUCCGGAAUUAUUGGGCGUAAAGAGGGAGCAGGC
rnacentral:rRNA from 1 species